UAGAUUUCCACUGUAGUCACCUGGAGCUUCAUCCUGCAGGAGACCACUGGAUGCCAGUGUGGAACAUGCAGAGCUGUCCCACCUGAGGGCUAAAAAAGUUGCUGUAUUUAUCCACUCAUUCCUGUUGGUCACCGGCCAAGAGUGCACUCAGAUAUUGGCUCCUCACCACUGUUGCCUACUCUAUAUGAAGACUGGAUGUACUCCAACAUACAGAGAAAACACUCUGCAGAGCAGGAGUGCUUACAGUAGAAAGCUCUUAGCAUGUACAGAAUGGGAUAAUUCUCAAAGCAUCAUUCAGAUAUCCUUUGAGCUGAGCACACGAUAUGCACAUCAUGAAUACAUAUAAUCACUGCAUGGUCCUUUGUGAAGAUUUUGAAAAUAGCAUCUAAAAGCUGAUCGUGGGUCUCCAUCUGAGGACAUGCACUUGACAGACCAAUGACAGCUGCAAGACCAGUGAUACCAAGAACAGUGAGCAAGUACUGAUGAACCUCCUCCCUCAGCCUUCAGGAGCUCCUGGAUGCCAAUGGGCACUGCAUACAGAGGGGGUCACCUAAGCACUUGUGAAGAAGAAUGGCACUGCAAGAUCAUUCAAGGAAGGAAAGACCAGAAAGUCAGACUUAAAAAGGUCCUCUCAUGGCAGAUUUUAACACCAGGGGUUGUCUUUAUUUAUUUAUUUUCAAACUGCUUUGGCUAAAAGAGUUAAUUUCCCCUGAACCUUUAAGCAUCAGAUGGGCCUGCACCUUCCAAGGACUCUUUUCUUCUUUAAAAGCACAAUUGUUGUUCAGUUUCUCUCAGGUACAGAUUCAUUAGCUCUUGACUGGCUCUCCUUGUUUGCUGACUACUUGUGGAAAAAGCCAUUUACCCUGGUGAAUGUCAAGGUUAGUGCAAACCGUCCUUGUCAUCAGUCUCUCUGGCAGAAGGUCAGGGAUAAGCUUUCCUCAAAUGGGCAGCGUCAAACAAAGCAGAGAUGGACUUAACUCACCAAGAGGAAGAAAGAAGGCCUGCUCCAGAGUUGAUAAACAUUCCUGUGGACUUUGAGGACAGAAGAUUUAACUCCUCCCUUACCACGUCAAGAAGUGUUCACUGGAAGAGUCCUUAUAAUAUCUGGAUAUU